GAGACAAAUGGCCUAAUUCUGCUCCCACAUCUUAUUAUGUUCUUACAGCCUCUUCGUGGAAAGCGAGUCAGAGUUAAAACUUCACCAUCAUCCCUCCCCAACAUAACCCUUGUCUUCCACAGUAUUUAGGUCCAUAAAGAAGUGAGGUACAUUAAGAAUAGCAAAAAGUGAGGACAUUAAGAAUAGCAAAAAAGCUCACCAACACCCCUUUCCACCAUUCGGCGAGUCUAAGGCCACAUCUGACGACUGGAAGUCCAGAAGCAGCCUGUCCUGGGAUUGGAGACCCAUUGGCGUAUGUGGAUGGGGAGUGCGUGUGGGUCUGGAAAAUGGAUGCUAUUGCAUGAAGUGACUUGUUGAACAGCUGCCCGGCAUUGUCCUUGACUGCUGCUCUGGAAUAACUGCUCCAGCCUGGAAUGGCAGCAUGGGUCUAGUGAAGUGCUGUCUUGAUGAUGGAUGGAGCUGACUGGCCUCUCUUCCCAUCACGUGGCCAAUCUAUCUCCAACGUUUCCUCAUGACAAUUGUCACCAUGUCUCCUUGAUGACACUGAAGGAAUGGAAUAUGGUUGGAGAUCUUUCUUGGCCAGAAGAUAUGGAUCGAAGUGUGAAAUGAUGACAGCUUGGCAAGGUUGCUCUCUGUCAUCAGCCAUUACUCCGACCUGUACAAGAGUGUGACAGAACACAGCACUGGCAUAGAUUCACCUUGGUGUACUUGGUUGAUGCCAUAGAAUAAACUCUAUCCUCAGAUUUCAUCCCAGGACACCUGGACCCUGGUGACUUCUUCAGCUCUGGUAUUCUUUCAGGUCUCUACCUUCAGUGUUUGACCUUCAAGCUUCUUUAAAGAAUAAACUUAUUUAUAUUUAAGAAUAUUUACCUGCUUUUUAAUUAAUGUAA